AUUGAACGCUGGCGGCAGGCCUAACACAUGCAAGUCGAGCGAGCGGCGGACGGGUGAGUAAUGUCUGGGAAACUGCCUGAUGGAGGGGGAUAACUACUGGAAACGGUAGCUAAUACCGCAUACCAUCAGAUGUGCCAAGAUGGGAAUAGCUAGUAGGUGUGGUAACGGCCCACCUAGGCGACGAUCCCUAGCUGGCCUGAGAGGGUGACCAGCCACAAUGGGACGGAGACACGGUCCAGAGUCAUGCGGGAGGCAGCAGUGGGGAAAAUUGCACAAUGGACGGAAGCCGGAUGCAGCCAUGCCGCGUGAGUGAAGAAGGCCUUCGGGUUGUAAAGCACUUUCAGCGGGGAGGCGUUACCCACAGAGGAAGCACCGGCUAACUCCGUGCCAGCAGCCGCGGUAAUAC
rnacentral:rRNA from 1 species